GACAGAGGAUGCAAGCGUUAUCCGGAAUGAUUGGGCGUAAAGCGUCUGUAGGUGGCUUUUAAGUCCGCCGUCAAAUCCCAGGGCUCAACCCUGGACAGGCGGUGGAAACUACCAAGCUGGAGUACGGUAGGGGCAGGAGGGAUUUCCGGUGGAGCGGUGAAAUGCGUAGAGAUCGGAAAGAACACCAACGGCGAAAGCACUCUGCUGGGCCGACACUGACACUGAGAGACGAAAGCUAGGGGAGCGAAUGGG
rnacentral:rRNA from 1 species